rnacentral:rRNA from 1 species
UACGUAGGGUGCAAGCGUUAAUCGGAAUUACUGGGCGUAAAGCGUGCGCAGGCGGUUAUGCAAGACAGAUGUGAAAUCCCCGGGCUCAACCUGGGAACUGCAUUUGUGACUGCAUAGCUAGAGUACGGUAGAGGGGGAUGGAAUUCCGCGUGUAGCAGUGAAAUGCGUAGAUAUGCGGAGGAACACCGAUGGCGAAGGCAAUCCCCUGGACCUGUACUGACGCUCACGCACGAAAGCGUGGGGAGCAAACAGG